GUCAAGUCCAACAAGACAUUGCCAAAGCUCAUGCAUCAUGUUUGGAAAUGGACUGGACGGCUGUUGGGUUUCGUGUUCAGGUCUCCAUAGCAACCUGUGAACCCUGUACUUUUAGAGUGCGUGCUUUCUUCUGCCGUCAGCAAAGUUUGGCCGCUCGACUCCACCCACCGGUUCCCUGGCGCCUUGCCGACGCAUCUGCCAAACGCUCGGGCCCCCAACCCACGUCACCCCUGCCCCAUAUUCCUCAAGAUGGAGGCAUCGAGGGAAUCCCCACUGUCGAGCUAUUCUUCAUGUGGACGACGCGUGGGCAGGAAAUACUCGCAACAGGUGCCACCCGACGAGGCUUGAUCCUCAGCCCUUUGUGCCUGAGCAGGAGUGGGAGUCUGAGAGGCCGCAGGGGUCAUGGUGACCGGAGAGCAGGCUGCACCAUACCGACCGUGAGACUGGAGGGUGCGGACGUCAAAAUGAGGCUUGGACCAAAUUACGGUUGGACUAUUUGUCUUCGCUGACAUGUUUAGGGAGUGCAGAGCUACAGAAACAGUAGAGUGGAGACUUCUUAAUAGAUGGAAGAUUUGGUUUAAAUGUAUAAUACUGAAAUCAUUUUUUUUUUUUUUUUUUUUUU